rnacentral:rRNA from 1 species
GGUAAGGUGAUAUGAACCGUUAUAACCGGCGAUACCCGAAUGGGGAAACCCAGUGUGAUUCGUCACACUAUCAUUAACUGAAUCCAUAGGUUAAUGAGGCGAACCGGGGGAACUGAAACAUCUAAGUACCCCGAGGAAAAGAAAUCAACCGAGAUUCCCCCAGUAGCGGCGAGCGAACGGGGAGGAGCCCAGAGCCUGAAUCAGCAUGUGUGUUAGUGGAAGCGUCUGGAAAGGCGCGCGAUACAGGGUGACAGCCCCGUACACAAAAGCGCAUGUGCUGUGAGCUCGAUGAGUAGGGCGGGACACGUGGUAUCCUGUCUGAAUAUGGGGGGACCAUCCUCCAAGGCUAAAUACUCCUGACUGACCGAUAGUGAACCAGUACCGUGAGGGAAAGGCGAAAAGAACCCCGGCGAGGGGAGUGAAAAAGAACCUGAAACCGUGUACGUACAAGCAGUGGGAGCACCCUUUGGGUGUGACUGCGUACCUUUUGUAUAAUGGGUCAGCGACUUAUAUUCUGUAGCAAGGUUAACCGAAUAGGGGAGCCGGAGGGAAACCGAGUCUUAAUUGGGCGUUAAGUUGCAGGGUAUAGACCCGAAACCCGGUGAUCUAGCCAUGGGCAGGUUGAAGGUUGGGUAACACUAACUGGAGGACCGAACCGACUAAUGUUGAAAAAUUAGCGGAUGACCUGUGGCUGGGGGUGAAAGGCCAAUCAAACCGGGAGAUAGCUGGUUCUCCCCGAAAGCUAUUUAGGUAGCGCCUCGUGAAUUCAUCUCCGGGGGUAGAGCACUGUUUCGGCUAGGGGGCCAUCCCGGCUUACCAACCCGAUGCAAACUGCGAAUACCGGAGAAUGUUAUCACGGGAGACACACGGCGGGUGCUAACGUCCGUCGUGAAGAGGGAAACAACCCAGACCGCCAGCUAAGGUCCCAAAGUCAUGGUUAAGUGGGAAACGAUGUGGGAAGGCCCAGACAGCCAGGAUGUUGGCUUAGAAGCAGCCAUCAUUUAAAGAAAGCGUAAUAGCUCACUGGUCGAGUCGGCCUGCGCGGAAGAUGUAACGGGGCUAAACCAUGCACCGAAGCUGCGGCAGCGACACUGUGUGUUGUUGGGUAGGGGAGCGUUCUGUAAGCCUGUGAAGGUGUGUCGUGAGGCAUGCUGGAGGUAUCAGAAGUGCGAAUGCUGACAUAAGUAACGAUAAAGCGGGUGAAAAGCCCGCUCGCCGGAAGACCAAGGGUUCCUGUCCAACGUUAAUCGGGGCAGGGUGAGUCGACCCCUAAGGCGAGGCCGAAAGGCGUAGUCGAUGGGAAACGGGUUAAUAUUCCCGUACUUGGUGUUACUGCGAAGGGGGGACGGAGAAGGCUAUGUUGGCCGGG